CUGUGCUUGGCCUCCGUCAGUUUCCCGGUAACAUCUUUGGUGCAUUGGCCGGGAAGCUCGUCAUUAACAGUGGCUAGGAAGCAGAGGCGAGAGACAGUCUAUCUUUGCCCACGUUCUCUACGGCUGCACCCCUGAACUUCUGCGUGGACCUCCCUUCGUCUCGGCGCCACUGGUCUGUUGUCCAGGAGAUCAUCGGCCUCUACGUAGUAAGUACUGG